rnacentral:rRNA from 1 species
CCUACGGGAGGCAGCAGUAGGGAAUCUUCCACAAUGGACGAAAGUCUGAUGGAGCAACGCCGCGUGAGUGAAGAAGGGUUUCGGCUCGUAAAGCUCUGUUGGUAGUGAAGAAAGAUAGAGGUAGUAACUGGCCUUUAUUUGACGGUAAUUACUUAGAAAGUCACGGCUAACUACGUGCCAGCAGCCGCGGUAAUACGUAGGUGGCAAGCUUUGUCCGGAUUUAUUUGGGGUAAAGCGAGUGCAGGCGGUUCAAUAAGUCUGAUGUGAAAUCCUGCGGCUCAACCGGAGGAUAGCAUCAGAAACUGGUGAACUUGAGUGCAGAAGAGGUGAGUGGAACUCCAGGUGUAGCGGUGGAAUGCGUAGAUAUAUGGAAGAACACCAGUGGCGAAGGCAGCUCUCUGGUCUGCAACUGACGCUGAGGCUCGAAAGCAUGGGUAGCGAACAGGAUUAGAUACCCUUGUAGUC